UGGUUGCGAAAAGAGUUUUAAUUUUUUUUWAAGAGACCGGAGAGAAUUAGCGGUCUCGGGCGACAGGCACAACGGAGAGAGAGAUUAUGUUUGAA
rnacentral:ncRNA from 1 species